rnacentral:rRNA from 1 species
ACGAACGCUGAUGGCGUGCCUUAUACAUGCAAGUCGAGCGAGGGUAGCAAUACCCUAGCGGCGAACGGGUGAGUAACGCGUAAACAAUCUGCCCUUUGGUGGGGGAUAACCAUUCCAACGGAUGGCUAAUACCGCAUAAAGUAUGGAGAAGGCAUCUUCAUCAUACGAAAGAUUUAUUGCCAAAGGAUGAGUUUGCGUCCCAUUAGCUUGUUGGCGGGGUUACGGCCCACCAAGGCGACGAUGGGUAGCCGGCCUGAGAGGGUGUACGGCCACAUUGGGACUGAGAUACGGCCCAGACUCCUACGGGAGGCAGCAGUAGGGAAUCUUGCGCAAUGGACGAAAGUCUGACGCAGCAACGCCAUGUGUGGGAUGAAGCAUUUCGGUGCGUAAACCACUGUCGGCAGGGAAUAAAGCUCCGUCUUUGGCGGAAGGUGAAUGUACCUGCAGAGGAAGCCCCGGCUAACUUCGU